AGAGUUUGAUCCUGGCUCAGGAUGAACGCUGGCGGCGUGCUUAACACAUGCAAGUCGAACGAACCUUCGGGUUAGUGGCGGACGGGUGAGUAACGCGUGGGAAUCUGCCCUCAGGAGGGGGAUAACGGCUGGAAACGGCCGCUAAUACCCCAUAUGCCGAGAGGUGAAAAGAAAUUCGCCUGAGGAUGAGCCCGCGUCUGAUUAGCUAGUUGGUGGGGUAAGAGCUCACCAAGGCGACGAUCAGUAGCUGGUCUGAGAGGAUGAUCAGCCACACUGGGACUGAGACACGGCCCAGACUCCUACGGGAGGCAGCAGUGGGGAAUUUUCCGCAAUGGGCGAAAGCCUGACGGAGCAACGCCGCGUGAGGGAUGAAGGCCUCUGGGCUGUAAACCUCUUUUCUCAAGGAAGAAGACAUGACGGUACUUGAGGAAUAAGCCACGGCUAAUUCCGUGCCAGCAGCCGCGGUAAUACGGGAGUGGCAAGCGUUAUCCGGAAUUAUUGGGCGUAAAGCGUCCGCAGGCGGCCCUGUAAGUCUGUCGUUAAAGCGUGGAGCUUAACUCCAUUUAAGCGAUGGAAACUACAGGGCUUGAGUGUGGUAGGGGCAGAGGGAAUUCCCGGUGUAGCGGUGAAAUGCGUAGAUAUCGGGAAGAACACCAGUGGCGAAGGCGCUCUGCUGGGCCAUAACUGACGCUCAUGGACGAAAGCCAGGGGAGCGAAAGGGAUUAGAUACCCCUGUAGUCCUGGCCGUAAACGAUGAACACUAGGUGUCGGGGGAAUCGACCCCCUCGGUAUCGUAGCCAACGCGUUAAGUGUUCCGCCUGGGGAGUACGCACGCAAGUGUGAAACUCAAAGGAAUUGACGGGGGCCCGCACAAGCGGUGGAGUAUGUGGUUUAAUUCGAUGCAACGCGAAGAACCUUACCAGGGUUUGACAUCCUGCGAAUCCCUUGGAAACGAGGGAGUGCCUUCGGGAGCGCAGAGACAGGUGGUGCAUGGCUGUCGUCAGCUCGUGUCGUGAGAUGUUGGGUUAAGUCCCGCAACGAGCGCAACCCACGUCUUUAGUUGCCAGCAUUCAGUUGGGCACUCUAGAGAGACCGCCGGUGAUAAACCGGAGGAAGGUGUGGAUGACGUCAAGUCAUCAUGCCCCUUACAUCCUGGGCUACACACGUACUACAAUGCUACGGACAAAGGGCAGCAAGCUCGCGAGAGUUAGCAAAUCCCAUAAACCGUGGCUCAGUUCAGAUCGUAGGCUGCAACUCGCCUACGUGAAGGAGGAAUCGCUAGUAAUCGCAGGUCAGCAUACUGCGGUGAAUACGUUCCCGGGCCUUGUACACACCGCCCGUCACACCAUGGAAGUUGGCCAUGCCCGAAGUCGUUACUCCAACUC
rnacentral:rRNA from 1 species